rnacentral:rRNA from 1 species
UAGGGAAUCUUCCGCAAUGGGCGAAAGCCUGACGGAGCAACGCCGCGUGAGUGAUGAAGGUCUUCGGAUCGUAAAACUCUGUUAUUAGGGAAGAACAAAUGUGUAAGUAACUAUGCACGUCUUGACGGUACCUAAUCAGAAAGCCACGGCUAACUACGUGCCAGCAGCCGCGGUAAUACGUAGGUGGCAAGCGUUAUCCGGAAUUAUUGGGCGUAAAGCGCGCGUAGGCGGUUUUUUAAGUCUGAUGUGAAAGCCCACGGCUCAACCGUGGAGGGUCAUUGGAAACUGGAAAACUUGAGUGCAGAAGAGGAAAGUGGAAUUCCAUGUGUAGCGGUGAAAUGCGCAGAGAUACGGAGGAACACCAGUGGCGAAGGCGACUUUCUGGUCUGUAACUGACGCUGAUGUGCGAAAGCGUGGGGAUCAAACAGG